rnacentral:rRNA from 1 species
UACGUAGGGUGCGAGCGUUGUCCGGAAUUAUUGAGCGUAAAGAGCUCGUAGGCGGUCUGUCGCGUCGAUCGUGAAAACUUGGGGCUUAACCCUGAGCUUGCGGUCGAUACGGGCAUGACUGGAGUUCGGCAGGGGAGACUGGAAUUCCUGGUGUAGCGGUGAAAUGCGCAGAUAUCAGGAGGAACACCGGUGGCGAAGGCGGGUCUCUGGGCCGAUACUGACGCUGAGGAGCGAAAGCGUGGGGAGCGAACAGG